rnacentral:rRNA from 1 species
AAUGAACGUUGGCGGCGUGGAUUAGGCAUGCAAGUCGAGCGAGAACCCCGCAAGGGGGGACAGCGGCGAAAGGGACAGUAAUGUGUAGAUUAUCUGCCCUCAGGUCCGGGAUAGCUGCGGGAAACUGCAGGUAAUACCGGAUAACAUCUCCGGAUCAAAGGUGUGAUUCCGCCUGAGGAUGAGUCUGCAUCCUAUUAGCUAGUUGGUGGGGUAAUGGCCUACCAAGGCAUUGAUGGGUAGCAGGUGUGAGAGCACGACCUGCGUCAUUGGGACUGAGACACUGCCCAGACACCUACGGGUGGCUGCAGUCGAGAAUCUUCGGCAAUGGGCGCAAGCCUGACCGAGCGACGCCGCGUGUGGGAUGAAGGCCUUCGGGUUGUAAACCACUGUCAGAGGGGAUGAAAUGCAGGUGGGUUCUCCCAUCUGUUUGACAUAGCCUCAGAGGAAGGACAGGCUAAGUUCGUG